rnacentral:rRNA from 1 species
AACUAGUAUUAGAGGCACUGCCUGCCCAGUGACAAUAGUUAAACGGCCGCGGUAUCUUGACCGUGCAAAGGUAGCAUAAUCACUUGUUCUCUAAAUAAGGACUUGUAUGAAUGGCCACACGAGGGUUUUACUGUCUCUUACUCUUAAUCAGUGAAAUUGACCUCCCCGUGAAGAGGCGGGGAUAACACAAUAAGACGAGAAGACCCUAUGGAGCUUUAAUUAAUCAACUCAAAAAGCAUAAAAUAAUACCACCAAGGGAUAACAAAGCUUUAUAUGAAUUGACAAUUUCGGUUGGGGUGACCUCGGAGUAUAAAAAAUCCUCCGAGUGAUUAAAACUUAGGCCUACCAGCCAAGGUGUAGUAUCACUUAUUGAUCCAAAACUUUGAUCAACGGAACAAGUUACCCUAGGGAUAACAGCGCAAUCCUAUUCUAGAGUCCAUAUCGACAAUAGGGUUUACGACCUCGAUGUUGGAUCAGGACAUCCUAAUGGUGCAGCAGCUAUUAAGGGUUCGUUUGUU